rnacentral:rRNA from 1 species
AUUGAACGCUGGCGGCAGGCCUAACACAUGCAAGUCGAACGGUAACAGGAAGCUGCUUGCUGCUUUGCUGACGAGUGGCGGACGGGUGAGUAAUGUCUGGGAAACUGCCUGAUGGAGGGGGAUAACUACUGGAAACGGUAGCUAAUACCGCAUAACGUCGCAAGCCCAAAGAGGGGGACCUUCGGGCCUCUUGCCAUCGGAUGUGCCCAGAUGGGAUUAGCUAGUAGGUGGGGUAACGGCUCACCUAGGCGACGAUCCCUAGCUGGUCUGAGAGGAUGACCAGCCACACUGGAACUGAGACACGGUCCAGACUCCUACGGGAGGCAGCAGUGGGGAAUAUUGCACAAAGGGCGCAAGCCUGAUGCAGCCAUGCCGCGUGUAUGAAGAAGGACUUCGGGUUGUAAAGUACUUUCAGCGGGGAGGAAGGGAGUAAAGUUAAUACCUUUGCUCAUUGACGUUACCCGCAGAAGAAGCACCGGCUAACUCCGUG